GAGCCCAAGAUUGAAAGCUGGCGUCUUCGGCGUCCGCAUUGUAAUCUCAAGAAGUGUUUUCCGCUUCGGACCAUGCCUAAGUCCCUUGGAAAAGGGCAUCAUAGAGGGUGAUAAUCCCGUACAUGGCAUGGAGCGCCCGAAGCUUUGUGAUACGCUUUCUAAGAGUCGAGUUGUUUGGGAAUGCAGCUCAAAAUGGGUGGUAAAUGCCAUCUAAGGCUAAAUAUUGGGGAGAGACCGAUAGCGAACAAGUACAGUGAUGGAAAGAUGAAAAGAACUUUGAAAAGAGAGUUAAACAGUACGUGAAAUUGCCAAAAGGGAAGGGUAGGAGGUCAGAGAUGCGGCCUAGGAUUCAGCCUUGCUUUUGCUUGGUGUUUUUCCUAGAUUGCAGGCCAACGUCGGUUUUGGGCACUGGAGAAUGGUGGAAGGAAUGUGGCACCUCUCGGGGUGUGUUAUAGCCUUCUACUGGAUACAGCGACCGAGACCGAGGACAGCAGCGUACUCGCAAGAGCGGGCCUUCGGGCACCUUUACGCUUAGGGCGUUGGCAUAAUGGCCCUCUACCACCCGUCUUGAAACACGGAC
rnacentral:rRNA from 1 species